rnacentral:rRNA from 1 species
GACGAACGCUGGCGGCGUGCUUAACACAUGCAAGUCGAACGGAAAGGCCCUGCUUUUGUGGGGUGCUCGAGUGGCGAACGGGUGAGUAACACGUGAGUAACCUGCCCUUGACUUUGGGAUAACUUCAGGAAACUGGGGCUAAUACCGGAUAGGAGCUCCUGCUGCAUGGUGGGGGUUGGAAAGUUUCGGCGGUUGGGGAUGGACUCGCGGCUUAUCAGCUUGUUGGUGGGGUAGUGGCUUACCAAGGCUUUGACGGGUAGCCGGCCUGAGAGGGUGACCGGCCACAUUGGGACUGAGAUACGGCGCAGACGCCUACGGGAGGCAGCAGUGGGGAAUAUUGCACAAUGGGGGGAAGCCUGAUGCAGCAACGCCGCGUGCGGGAUGACGGCCUUCGGGUUGUAAACCGCUUUCGCCUGUGACGAAGCGUGAGUGACGGUAAUGGGUAAAGAAGCACCGGCUAACUACGUG